rnacentral:rRNA from 1 species
GACGAACGCUGGCGGCGUGCUUAACACAUGCAAGUCGAACGGAAAGGCCCUGCUUUUGUGGUGUGCUCGAGUGGCGAACGGGUGAGUAACACGUGAGUAACCUGCCCUUGACUUUGGGAUAACUUCAGGAAACUGGGGCUAAUACCGGAUAGGAUCUCCUGCUGCAUGGUGGGGGUUGGAAAGUUUCGGCGGUUGGGGAUGGACUCGCGGCUUAUCAGCUUGUUGGUGGGGUAGUGGCUUACCAAGGCUUUGACGGGUAGCCGGCCGGGGAGGGUGACCGGCCACCUUGGGACUGAGGUACGGACCAGACUCCUACGGGAGGCAGCAGUGGGGAUUAUUGCACAAUGGGAGGAAGCCUGAUGCAGCAACGCCGCGUGCGGGAUGCCGGCUUUCGGGUUAUAAACCGCUUUCGCCUGUGACGAAGCGUGAGUGACGGUAAUGGGUAAAGAAGCACCGGCUAACUACGUG